GUAAACGGUGGGUACUAGGUGUGGGGUCCAUUCCACGGGUUCCGUGCCGUAGCUAACGCUUUAAGUACCCCGCCUGGGGAGUACGGCCGCAAGGCUAAAACUCAAAGGAAUUGACGGGGCCCCGCACAAGCGGCGGAGCAUGCGGAUUAAUUCGAUGCAACGCGUAGAACCUUACCUGGGUUUGACAUGGAUCGGGAGUGCUCAGAGAUGGGUGUGCCUCUUUUGGGGUCGGUUCACAGGUGGUGCAUGGCUGUCGUCAGCUCGUGUCGUGAGAUGUUGGGUUAAGUCCCGCAACGAGCGCAACCCUUGUUCACUGUUGCCAGCACGUUAUGGUGGGGACUCAGUGGAGACCGCCGGGGUCAACUCGGAGGAAGGUGGGGAUGACGUCAAGUCAUCAUGCCCCUUAUGUCCAGGGCUUCACGCAUGCUACAAUGGCUGGUACAGAGAGUGGCGAGCCUGUGAGGGUGAGCGAAUCUCGGAAAGCCGGUCUCAGUUCGGAUUGGGGUCUGCAACUCGACCUCAUGAAGUCGGAGUCGCUAGUAAUCGCAGAUCAGCAACGCUGCGGUGAAUACGUUCCCGGGGCUUGUACACACCGCCCGUCAAGUCA
rnacentral:rRNA from 1 species